CAAGGAUGUGCAUCACUAAUAAAAACAUGUCGUUUUGACUAUUGCUUAGAUGCUGUUGAUAAACACGUAAGUUUAAUGUUUGUACAAGUUGUUUGACAAACAGUCAAAGAUGAAAAAUCAGCCAUUAAAGGUAGAUCUGAUUUUAACACUUCAUGAAACAUCUAUCUUUAGACAUUUUUUGUGUAUCUGAAAUAAAUAAAAUUAAAUAAAAUAAAUAAUUCUAGUGGACUGAAAAUAUAUUUUUCUCAGAAGUGAAGUAGAUUGACUGAACGUAUUAAAGUGAAUGUACAUACACAUUACUCUACAUGCCAAAUGAUUAUAAAAUUGGUUACAUUUAGACCAUUUUACAUUUUAAACAUAGAUUUGUACUGUUAUAAUACACUAAAUCAAUCAGAGGAAAUGGCCCCACUAAUAAUUAGAUUUUUUAACUUACAUGAUAAUAUGCUAUGUAAUAUUCCAUGAGUUAUUGUGAGCAGGCAAUCUAAACUAAGGACAUUAUAAUGCUCUGAAAGAAGAGGAUUUUGUUGCCUUGUUUUUUGUUGUCUGCAAUGAAUUCUAUGUGCCUAAUAUUACACAAUAGACCAACAUGGAUUCCUGUCUUGACAUGUGAAUUCCUACAUCAAUUAAAUUGUUUCUUUCAUCAUAUGAUGUGCAAGACAUGAUUGAAGUGUUGAAAUGUUUGCAGUAUAAACAUUUCAAUAUGUUCUGAUAUAUAAGGGUUAAUGUUAAUAUUCACCUAUAUUUAUUAUAACAACAAUGAAUUAACACUUAAAAAAUACCCUGUAACCUGUGUUACACAGCUGUUACACAUAUGUUUUACACUCAUUGCGCAUCUGAAACCUUAACAGCUCAUUAUUUAACGCAACGUACAAAUGCAAUUAAAAAGUUUAGGCAGACAGGAGCGAACUGCUUCCUGCUGGAGUUCCUCUGAGCCCGGGGUGUGACGUCACCCUCCCAGAAUGCAUGGCUUCCAGCGCGGCGCCCAGCAGUCCAGGCCCGUCCUAAACAUCCCCAGAACUUUUCCCAAAAUGUCGAUGUGGAGGGGCAAAGAAGAGUCGAGCCAGAACUGGACCGAGGCGUGUUCGGAUUUUAAAGAUGUCCACCUACCUCUGUUUGGCUGCUGAAUACUGAAAAAGGCUGUGGGCUGACACAAGGGCUCUUCUCAGGAAACACACAGACCCAGUCAGCGCGUUCAAAGCUCCUCACCACUGCAGCCCUGUUGGGGUUGUUAUGGCAGCUGCUCUGACAGAUACCAAGUACUGGACACAGAGAUCCCUCAGUAAGGCUGGACAGACAAAACCACCGUCUAAUGGUUGACAAACAGCUUGCGGCAUUACGUCUAGUACUCCCAGUAAACAAAGCAACCACGUGUUUGUAGGCUGAUGGUGAGAAUCCUCAUGAGUCUUGUCUGUAUCUGCUCAGACUCUUGGCCGGAGUCCCUGCGAAGCAGCAGAGCAAGC
rnacentral:lncRNA from 1 species